UACGUAGGGUGCAAGCGUUGUCCGGAAUUAUUGGGCGUAAAGAGCGUGUAGGCGGCCCGAUUAGUCCGCUGUGAAAGUCCAGGGCUCAACCCUGGAAUGCCGGUGGAUACUGUCGGGCUAGAGUCCGGAAGGGGCGAGUGGAAUUCCUGGUGUAGCGGUGAAAUGCGCAGAUAUCAGGAAGAACACCCGUGGCGAAGGCGGUUCUCUGGGACGGUACUGACGCUGAGACGCGAAAGCGUGGGGAGCGAACAGG
rnacentral:rRNA from 1 species